rnacentral:rRNA from 1 species
UACGGAGGGGGCAAGCGUUAUUCGGAAUCAUUGGGCGUAAAGGGCGCGUAGGCGGCUUGGCAAGUCAAAGGUGAAAUCCCUCGGCCCAACCGAGGAACUGCCUUUGAAACUGUCUGGCUUGAGGCCGGGAGAGGGUAGCGGAAUUCCCAGUGUAGCGGUGAAAUGCGUAGAUACUGGGAGGAACACCGGUGGCGAAGGCGGCUACCUGGACCGGUUCUGACGCUGAUGCGCGAAAGCGUGGGUAGCAAACAGG